ensembl:lncRNA basic helix-loop-helix family member a15
AUGCAAGCGUUGGGGUACUUCUCUCCUGUUCGGGGUAUUUCUGGGAAUGGUUUAUGUUGGCUUUUUAAAAGAAGUGGCAGUGAUGAGCAGACAAAUAAAAGGGAUAAAGAGCUCCACCUGUGGAUCUCCUCAGAUCUUCUGUCACUGGCUGAUGAGGAUAAACAGUCAGACGCCUUGUUCUGUGUUCUUGAGGAAGAUGAAAGAGGAUCAUUAGAUCAUAGACUAUGCUUGGAAACAAGGUCAUCAACCCCGUGUUGUCCUCCAAAGGACACCAUUCAACCACUGACUGUUACCUCCUCAGAUCUCCGUGUUAUCCACGUGUCACAGGAGGCUUCCAGGAUGAAACUGAUUUUCAAUCCAAAGGACAUUUCCAGCUUGAUCACCAUGAAUUUAAACCUACCAACGCAUAUCACGAGACAUCUUCAUGACAUCCUUAUGACCUUGUGUUAUGAUGACUACACAUCAGCCCGGCUGUUAAACAAUAUUCCAAUAACUCAGACAACGAAGACACUCCUAGAACACAGCAUCACAUCAAUGGAUUUAAAAAAUUCCCAAAUCCAAUGGGCUCUGGGUUUGAGCCCUGAAGAUGAACAGAAUGGAAACGUUCUCAUGGUCAACAUUAAGUGUAAUCAGAGUCCUGUGAAGUCAUGCCAGAGCAAUAACAAAGCUGGACAAGAACCCUGGGAGAACAGGAACAGGAAUGUGAGGAGAAGAAGGAGGAAAAGUGUUUCCUUCAAUGAAGAUGUUGUAGUAUUUCUGUUUGAUGAGAAAAGUCCAACUCUGAAGCUGCAAACUGAAUGCUGCACAUUUCCAUCAGGCAGCUCGUCCUACAACCUGCCAGUGUUCACAAUGGAGGACAAUGGAUUGGAGUGGGAGGAUGAAUUUGCGACUUUGGAGCGAAACGACCAUUUGCAGCGUUUCAAACCUGCUCCGCCCUGCAACGUCUCUCUGCCAACACCUGCCUUCACUGCUGUGACCGAGCCACAGCAACACUGUCAGACCCAACGCUGCCUGUUCCUCACCUAUGUCACUGAGUCAGACCUUGACCUGUGAGAUAAAAAAGGUUGAACAACCUCAGCCUGAUGGAAAAAGUGACUAAUCAUCCAGAUCUGGUCCUCCUCUCAUCUCAUCUGCCCUCCUCUCCUCUCCUCCAUCUCAUCUCCCACCCUGAUGACUUAAAUGGCUUCUUUCUUCCUUUCUCUUACAGAUGCUUAAUCUCCAGACUGAUUCACAAUAUGUGUCGUCAUGACAUCACCACUAAGCAGAUUUAUGUGCCAUUGCGUUCAGAUUCCCAUUUAGCUGGCAUGACACGAGUGAAAGAGCCAGUUAUGUAACACUUCUGGUACUUUUCCAGAUAUAACUCCGCUAUAACUUUUGAUGCCAGACUAUGUCCUUGAACCUUAAGUAGAAACUAGACUAGAAACCAAAUGAAAUCUACAAAAAGCCAAAUUAUACAUCCUUCACUUUGGAAGUCAUUUUAAAAUUGUAAUGCAGCCGAUUCCAAAUGAUCUUGGUGUAAAUAUACAGAAGAGGUGUUUAGACAGUUUCUUUACCUCAAAUAGAACAAGCUUGUCGAGGUCCUGUUUACCUGCCUCAGAUCCAAAGUGUAUUCAGCUCAGAAUUUAUCUGCCGCUGUGACAAAACCAACAAGCCUUUGGGCCACUACAGCCAGAAACUGAGCAAACCUAAACAAACUGAUAAAGCUUCCCCUGGAGCCAGAAUCAGCUUUGUAUAGCAGUGCGUAGCAAUAAUGGAUGAAUAGUGGUGAAAAAAAGACACAUAACCAUCAUCAGGUUUAUGGCUUCUAAAGACAACAUAGCACUAACCUUAAUCCUGAGUCAUCCCGUCCCCCCCCCACCCCCCAAUUCCUCUUCCUCUGCCAUGCCUCUACCAAACUGUGUAAACAGAUUUAAGUUCCCACAACUUGUACAACUUCACAAACACACACAGGCUCACACACACACACAUACACACACACUCAUGCACGCACGUGCUGCUCAAGGGCAUUCAAAUCCAAAGGCGGGGACGUUUGCUCGAAAGAGCUGGGAGUGUCACACCUGUACCCGCAUCUAAUUUGUUGCUAAAUAACCACUAAGCUGAUACUAAUGACCUAAUCACUACAUACUUGUGUGAAUGGGAUUUUUAAAGCCUAUUUUUCUUUUAUUUUUUUAUAAAGCACUUUAGUUAGAAAAUUGACUUUUUGAGUAUUUCCAACUGAGUUAUUAGAAUAAAGAAUAAGAAAAUAAUGCA